rnacentral:lncRNA from 1 species
AAUGUUUCAUUUUGGACUGAACCAGCAACAGUGCUUACAGUCUACUAUCACAUGGACCUGCUCAAGAGUAAUGGCCACUUUGGGUGUCAUGGUAUGAACCAAAUAUCUUGAAGCUAUUACUGUCUGAUCACAGCCUGCAUUACAUAAUCAAUUAGCUGAUGAGUAAUAAUUUUGUCCAGAUAAGUGUGAAGACGCCAUUAGAUACAUACCUGGAGUACAAGCCAUUGAACCAGCAGAUUUACCUUCAUAUAUUCAAGAUGCUGAUCCAAGCACCGUGAUGCACCGUUUUGUGUUCAAGUGUCUUGAAGAUGCACAGAAAGCAGACUUUGUCAUCGGUAAUACAGUGCAAGAGCUA